UACGGGGGGAGCAAGCGUUGUUCGGAAUUACUGGGCGUAAAGGGCGCGUAGGCGGUUCGCUAAGUUGGAUGUGAAAACUCUGGGCUUAACCCAGAGCCUGCAUCCAAAACUGGCAAACUUGAGUACUGGAGGGGAAAGCGGAAUUCCUGGUGUAGCGGUGAAAUGCGUAGAUAUCAGGAGGAACACCGGUGGCGAAGGCGGCUUUCUGGACAGUAACUGACGCUGAUGCGCGAAAGCUAGGGGAGCAAACAGG
rnacentral:rRNA from 1 species